GUUGGGCGUGGUGGCGCAUCCCUGUAAUCCCAGAGACUCAGGAGGCUGAGACUGGAGCAUUUUGACAUCAAAUCCAGCCUCAG
rnacentral:sRNA from 1 species